GCAAUAUAAAAAAAUGUCACAUCGGCUAUUUUCUUUGUAGACCAUUUGAAUUCUAGCUGCUCAUUUUCAUGGGCAAAGGAGUUAACCUCUACUGUAUUAGAAUUCAUAUAUCAUAACUGGUUUGUAUUAGAUGUUGUGGGACUUUUUGGAAUAUUCAAUUUUUUUACUGUAGUGGGGUUGUUGAAUAGAAAAUGUUGGCUAUCAAGGUUAUUUGUUUUUUAGCUAGGAUGUUUGAUGAAGGGAAGAGGUACAUUGUUAGCAUACAUCAAACAUUCCAAUCUAUACCAUGAGGUGGUGUGGAUAGGCUGAUCAUUAUGUUAAAGUAAUAUUUUUCCAUUUUGCAAGGGGCCAUAUAAAUAUGGUCUGUUUAUCAGUGUCUAAUUGAGUAAGACUUAAGAAUUGUUGAGUUUUCAUUGUUGCCCCUUAGCUUGCUCCUUACAUGGUUUCUAUCUUUAUUUAAUGUUAUCAUGUUAUUUCUUGUGUGUUGGAAUGUGU
rnacentral:misc_RNA from 1 species